GACAGCAGUAGCCGCGGGAAUACGAAGGGUGCAAGCGUUACUCGGAAUUACUGGGCGUAAAGCGUGCGUAGGUGGUGGUUUAAGUCCGUUGUGAAAGCCCUGGGCUCAACCUGGGAAUUGCAGUGGAUACUGGGUCACUAGAGUGUGGUAGAGGAUAGUGGAAUUUCCGGUGUAGCAGUGAAAUGCGUAGAGAUCGGAAGGAACAUCUGUGGCGAAGGCGACUAUCUGGGCCAACACUGACACUGAGGCACGAAAGCGUGGGGAGCAAACAGGAUUAGAUACCCGAGUAGUCCCUGUCUCUUAUAC
rnacentral:rRNA from 1 species